CGGAGUGAGUAAUGUCUGGGAAACUGCCUGAUGGAGGGGGAUAACUACUGGAAACGGUAGCUAAUACCGCAUAACGUCGCAAGACCAAAGAGGGGGACCUUCGGGCCUCUUGCCAUCGGAUGUGCCCAGAUGGGAUUAGCUAGUAGGUGGGGUAACGGCUCACCUAGGCGACGAUCCCUAGCUGGUCUGAGAGGAUGGCCAGCCACACUGGAACUGAGACACGGUCCAG
rnacentral:rRNA from 1 species